rnacentral:rRNA from 1 species
GACGAACGCUGGCGGCGUGCUUAACACAUGCAAGUCGAACGGAAAGGCCUCUUUCGGGGGGUACUCGAGUGGCGAACGGGUGAGUAACACGUGAGUAACCUGCCCUUGACUUUGGGAUAACUUCAGGAAACUGGGGCUAAUACCGGAUAGGAGCUCCUGCUGCAUGGUGGGGGUUGGAAAGGUUCGGCGGUUGGGGAUGGACUCGCGGCUUAUCAGCUUGUUGGUGGGGUAGUGGCUUACCAAGGCUUUGACGGGUAGCCGGCCUGAGAGGGUGACCGGCCACAUUGGGACUGAGAUACGGCCCAGACUCCUACGGGAGGCAGCAGUGGGGAAUAUUGCACAAUGGGUGGAAGCCUGAUGCAGCAACGCCGUGUGCGGGAUGACGGCCUUCGGGUUGUAAACCGCUUUCGCUCAUGACGAAGCUUUGUGUGACGGUAGUGGGUAAAGAAGCACCGGCUAACUACGU